rnacentral:rRNA from 1 species
AGAACGAACGCUGGCGGAAUGCCUAACACAUGCAAGUCGAACGAGACCUUCGGGUCUAGUGGCGCACGGGUGCGUAACGCGUGGGAAUCUGCCCUUAGGUACGGAAUAACAGUGAGAAAUUACUGCUAAUACCGUAUGAUGUCUUCGGACCAAAGAUUUAUCGCCUAGGGAUGAGCCCGCGUAGGAUUAGCUAGUUGGUGGGGUAAAGGCCUACCAAGGCGACGAUCCUUAGCUGGUCUGAGAGGAUGAUCAGCCACACUGGGACUGAGACACGGCCCAGACUCCUACGGGAGGCAGCAGUGGGGAAUAUUGGACAAUGGGCGAAAGCCUGAUCCAGCAAUGCCGCGUGAGUGAAGAAGGCCUUCGGGUUGUAAGCUCUUUUGCCGGGAAGAUAAUGACUGUACCGGGAGAAUAAGCCCGGCUAACUCCGUGCCAGCAGCCGC